UCGUAUCUUCGACUACAUCUAACUUGAUCAUUGGUUCAUUGGAUGCUUCAAAUAGGUUAUUAAGUAUAAUAGGUGGCAAUGGAGAAUUUCUGUAUUUUCCGAACAGCUAUAUUUUACUUCAAUGGUGGCAUUUAAAUGUUUAAUAAUAGUGACACAUUAAUGAAGUGCUUAAGUUUGGAGUGACAUUACUGCAGUUUGUUCUGCUUUUUUUUCUUAUGCAUGCUUUAUUUAACGCCUUACAUUAAAAGACGGGUUGGAAGUUGGAACUGUGUCUCAUUUGACACCAAUGAGUGACGUCAUGCAUAAUUUCUUCAAAAUCUCAUUGCCAUUUAUUAUACUUAUUAGUCUAUUUAAAAUGCAGCUGAAAAACAAUCUUGAGAAAUUAAAAACAAAUUGUUGGGUUUAGGAAUAGAAAUUGUAUAACUUGAAAAGUUGUCUAUUUAUGAGCAGGAUCCGGCUCCUAUUUUUCAAGAUCGAUAAAGAAGUAGGAUCAUUUAAAAAGAAUGGACAUUUAACACUGAUUUGAGAAAAGCUUAUAAACCCCACUUUAAAAACCUUCCAAAUUAUUCAUCUUAAUCUUAUUUUCAUUAAUGAUCCGUGAAUCUCAAUUAUGCAUGCAUAAUUCAACAUUCAACGAUUCUACUUUUUUUUUUAAAGUUAAGUUUACGGGAAAUUUGUUUAAUUUGUUUUAAUAAUUUCUUCAGAAUUAUUCAUUAUUUACUAAAUGUCUCUUAUCAUAUCAGAAAAAAGUUACCAAUUCUUUCAGAAUUAUGCUAUGAUACUAAAACUAUACAAUCGAGUGUACACUCCUUGUGUGACGAUAUCCCGAACCCUUAGGCUUGGUGUACGUCAGUUCUCAGAAAAUGCGUCAACCAUCAGAACAAUUAAAGAUGUCGAUCUUGCGGACUUUCCACCAGAGAAAAUUAGAAAUUUCAGUAUUGUUGCCCACGUGGAUCACGGGAAAUCCACCCUAGCGGACAGAAUUCUAGAAAUUGUGGGUGCUAUUGACGUCUCUGCUAAUAAUAAACAGGUUCUGGAUAAGCUCCAGGUGGAAAGGGAACGAGGGAUUACUGUCAAAGCUCAAUCUGUAUCCGUUCUGUAUCAGUUUAAAGGAGAGGAAUAUAUUCUUAACCUUAUAGACACUCCAGGACAUGUUGAUUUCAGCUAUGAAGUCACCCGAUCUUUAAGGGCAUGUCAGGGAGUUCUACUCCUAGUAGACGCUAACCAAGGAGUUCAAGCUCAAACUGUUUCAAAUUUUUACCAAGCCUUCGCUAAUAAUCUAGAAAUAAUUCCUGUAAUAAAUAAAAUAGAUCUUCCUAAUGCGAACCCUGAUGCAGUCAGAGAGCAGCUCUACUCCCUUUUUGAACUGGAUCCUGGCAAAGUCCUGCUCAUCUCAGCUAAACUGGGAACAGGAGUUAAACAGCUUCUAGACGCAGUUGUUCAGUUAAUACCACCCCCACCCUCUGCUGCCCCCAAUGCUGACCUUGCGCUGUUCCUGUUCGACAGCUGGUUCGAUAGAUAUAAGGGGGCCAUUAAUCUAGUUCAAGUAAAAAGUGGCAUAGUGUACAAUGCGUCAAAUAUUGUCUCAUGUAAAACUGGAAAGGAGUACAGUGUAAAGAGUGUCGGAGUAAUUACCCCUGAAACAGUUGAGUGUACUGCACUUUAUUCAGGACAGGUCGGGUACAUAAUCUGUAAUAUGCGGAGUACAAAGGAAGCCGUGAUAGGAGAUACUUUUCAUUUAAAGGGCAAACCAGUUCCCCCGCUUCUAGAAAUAGCUGCUGCUAAACCAAUGCUGUUUGCUGGGUUUUAUCCCUUCAAUGCUGGGGAAUACAAGGAUCUGAGAGCAGCCAUUGAUAAACUUUGUAUUAAUGAUAAUAGUGUUACUUUAAGUGAUGAGUCUAGUCCUGCUCUGGGUUAUGGUUGGAGGAUUGGAUUCCUUGGUGUUCUCCAUAUGGAGGUUUUCUCACAGAGGUUGGAACAAGAAUAUGAAGCUGAGGUUCUUAUCACGGCGCCAUCAGUUCCUUAUAGAUUAAUUAUAAAAGGAGAGGGAAAUAAGAAGAAAUAUGGAAAAGAAAUCACGGUUUCUAACCCUGCGAACUGGUUGGAAAGGAUGAAUGUAGAAGAGUACCAAGAGCCUAUUGUACAUGCUACCAUGAUUACACCUGUAGAAUAUCUAUCCCCCAUCCUAGAAUUAUGCAAUGACAGACGUGGAGAACAGAUUUCAAUCUUGAACCUAGAUCAAACCAGGCUCAAUAUGCAGUUUAUAUUCCCGCUUAAUGAAAUAGCCACAGAUUUUUUUGACGAGUUAAAAAGUCGGAGUUCGGGGUUUGCAUCCCUGGAUUACGAGGAUGCAGGAUACAGGGCUAGUGAUCUAGUCAAGUUGGAUAUUCACUUGAAUGGAAAUCCAAUCGGUGAGCUCAGUUCCAUCGUGCACGUCAGCAAAAUUAAAACCAAGGCCAAGUAUCUGGUCGGAAAGAUGAAAGAUGAAUUACCAAGACAACAGUUUGCAAUUGCAAUUCAAGCAAUGGUUGGCUCAAAAGUUUUUGCCCGUGAGGACGUGAAAGCUCUACGGAAGGACGUGACGGCGAAGUGCUACGGCGGAGAUAUCUCCAGGAAGAUGAAGCUGUUGAAGAACCAGGCGGAGGGGAAGAGGAAGAUGAAGAAGGUUGGAAAUAUUCAGAUCGCCAAGGAGACCUUCGUCAAUAUAUUGACCAACAAGCGGUAGCAGCAUUCUUCAUACAUGUAUUGUUUAGUUUAUUGGUUUAUAAAAUUACUAUUUAUCUUUAAUUCAGACAUAUUGUACAACUUAAAUUUGCAGUACAUUGUACAUGCUUUGGUUUAUCCUCACAAUCUUAACACACUUAAGAUAUUGUUAUCUAUCUUGGGAAUCUAGCUUUGUCUGUAAACUAAACUUUUUAUAUUCAAGUAAGCCAACUCAACUUUUUAAAACCAAGUUAAGAAUAUUUCCGUAGUUCUACCAAGUUUCCCAAUCAAAAUUUGAGGUUAAUCGGUCAAAUGGUUUAUGAGACACAAAGAUACAAACAGGCAGAGUUUUCUUCUGUUCACAGUGUACAGUUCUUUUCUCCAUUUCUUGGAAUUAUAAAGUCUUCAUAAUACACUCCUCAAUAUUCAAUGUCAUUAUUAUGCUUACUUAUUAUGUUCUAAUUAAUGUUGUCAUGAUCUGAUCUUUUAAACGUUUUUGUUUGGUUAGGACACUGUUAAAAUAUAUUUCUGGAACAGAUUUCAUCCAGGUUUAUUGUUUCAG
rnacentral:misc_RNA from 1 species